ACUCCUACGGGAGGCAGCAGUAAGGAAUAUUGGACAAUGGGCGAAAGCCUGAUCCAGCCAUCCCGCGUGCAGGAUGACGGCCCUACGGGUUGUAAACUGCUUUUAUAAGGGAAGAAACCCCCCAAUGCGUUGGGGGCUGACGGUACCUUAGGAAUAAGCACCGGCUAACUCCGUGCCAGCAGCCGCGGUAAUACGGAGGGUGCGAGCGUUAUCCGGAAUUACUGGGUUUAAAGGGUGCGUAGGCGGAAAGAUAAGUCAGGAGUGAAAGUUUCCCGCUUAACGGGAGAAUUGCUUUUGAUACUGUUUUUCUUGAAUCAGGAUGAGGUUGGCGGAAUGUGGCAUGUAGCGGUGAAAUGCAUAGAUAUGCCAUGGAACACCGAUUGCGAAGGCAGCUGACUGGACCUGAAUUGACGCUGAGGCACGAAAGCGUGGGGAGCGAACAGGAUUAGAAACCCCAGUAGUCC
rnacentral:rRNA from 1 species